AGUCGACGGUAACAGGUUAAGCUGACGAGUGGCGAACGGGUGAGUAAUAUAUCGGAACGUGCCCAGUAGUGGGGGAUAGCCCGGCGAAAGCCGGAUUAAUACCGCAUACGACCUACGGGUGAAAGCAGGGGAUCGCAGGACCUUGCGCUAUUGGAGCGGCCGAUAUCAGAUUAGCUAGUUGGUGGGGUAAAAGCUCACCAAGGCGACGAUCUGUAGCUGGUCUGAUAGGACGACCAGCCACACUGGGACUGAGACACGGCCCAAACUCCUACGGGAGGCAGCAGUGGGGAAUUUUGGACAAUGGACGCAAGUCUGAUCCASCCAUGCCGCGUGCGGGAAGAAGGCCUUCGGGUUGUAAACCGCUUUUGUCAGGGAAGAAAAGUCUGGGGCUAAUAUCCUCGGACGAUGACUGUACCUGAACAAUAAGCACCGGCUAACUACGUGCCAGCAGCCGCGGUAAUACGUAUGGUGCAAGCGUUAAUCGGAAUUACUGGGCGUAAAGCGUGCGCACGCGGUUCUAU
rnacentral:rRNA from 1 species